GUUUCAGCAGGAUAAAAAGCUUGUGUUGCUUCUGUGGGUCAGAGGUUCAACAUUAAGCUCUUUUGUAGUUAGAGAUCAUAGAUGGCUGCUUACCAAUUGGUAGAAAUAGAAAAAACAGGCAAUACUUUUGUCAAUAAACACUUGCAGGAAGUAUCUCUGCUGGAAGUAUCAAAAAAAUUUCCUGUAAUAUAGCUCAUGGUGGAUAUCAUCUUUUCCAUCAAAACCUGGCAGGUUUUGCUUCUGCCUUCUGUAUGUCAGUUCGCUUUCUAAUGGGAUCUUCUGAAUCUCACCUGUUUGAGAGCUCCUGGUCACCCUUCACAUCUGGUUGCACGAGUCAGGUGUGUAGAGCUGCUCUAAAGAAACAACUGGUGUUACAAAGAUGGGGUGUUGUUGGAAUCCUUACUUUCCACCUGGCAUUUGUGGCAUUCUUCGGAGAUUAUGUCAGCUACUCCAGUGAAUACUGCUAA
rnacentral:lncRNA from 1 species